rnacentral:rRNA from 1 species
UCGCUACUACCGAUUGAAUGAUUUAGUGAGUUACACGGACCGCUGCGCUUGGUUGGGUCACCUUCUUUGCGCAAUGGGAAGUGUUGCAAACUUGACCAUUUAGAGGAAGUAA